rnacentral:piRNA from 1 species
UGGGGUUUCAUCAUGUUGGCCAGGAUGGU